rnacentral:lncRNA from 1 species
UACCGGCAAAGCCAAGCAGCGCCACUGCGGGGAAUUUCACAAAACUCCUCCGAUGAGGCCUUUCCUGAUUCCAGUUAUGUGUAAUUUUUUUACUGUUGUGAUCAUCGUAUCCUUCUCUAUAGAUUGACCAGAGCAAAACACCCAACCACAACGUGAGCCGGAGGAGUCGCCGUACCAGAGUGCCCCACCGCCAGUGGGUUUCAAUUUUUCAUGUUUUUUCAGCCAACCAAGGCCCUUUAACAUGUAUGAAAUCUACCCGAACAAACUAACUCUGAAACCAAGG